UUCAGGGGUAAACCUGAGAAACCCGAAAGGUCGGCGGGGAAAUUCAUUCGCGUUUCGUUUUUGUCGGCGCCGGACAGCAGCGUGACGAGCGGCCUCCGGGCCGCACGCGCCUGUCGUUCGGCGACCGUCGACGAACGCGUGCACUUUUCCUCUUGCCGGACGUCGCGAUCCGUUGGGUGUCGGUCUAAGGCCCGCGGUGGAGCCCUGUCGGCCAUUAAUUUGCGUCGAUAGGACCCGCGGUGUUUCCCGACCGACUCGCUCGACGGUAUGCAUAUGGCGCAGAGCCGCGACACCACAAUUCGCGUUCGACCCGGGGCAAGCGCGGACGUAGUUUUUCGGUGAUCGGACCCGGUGCCGAUCCCGAUCUCGUCCGACUGUGGCCCCGGUGUUCUCGGACAGACUCUGUGAAACGCCGAUCGGCGACGCUAUAGCUUUGGGUACUUUCAGGACCCGUCUUGAAACACGGACCAAGGAGUCUAGCAUGUGCGCGAGUCAUUGGGACACGACUAAACCUAAAGGCGCAAUGAAAGUGAAGGUCAACCUUGCGUUGACCGAGGGAGGAUGAGCGGUUUGCCGUUAAAAGUGGCCGCUCCGCACUCCCGGGGCGUCUCGUUCUCAUCGCGAGAUGAGGCGCACCAAGAGCGUACACGCUGGGACCCGAAAGAUGGUGAACUAUGCCUGGUCAGGACGAAGUCAGGGGAAACC
rnacentral:rRNA from 1 species